rnacentral:lncRNA from 1 species
AAACGAGCGUAGCUUCCUUGUCGUGUGGCCUCAGUCCUUCGCCGUCCCUCGCCGUCCUUCGCCAUCGCACGCCACCGCACCCCAUCUCUCGAAAUCUGCAGACAUCUUGAUUUUUCCCACGCUGUCUGUCAGGUCUCCGCCGCCACUCGACGCCAGGGCGCCGGGUGAGUCCACAGCAGGGCGCAUGGUCGGCUCCACUCUCACCAUCGGGGGAAACUGAGGCCCCGGGGAAGGCGGCCAGAGAGGUCAGGCCCUGUCCUUGGUGCAGUGUCUCGUCCUCUUUGCCGGAGUGAGCCCCCCAGGAUUCGCGUGUCCUCGGGAAAGACACUGGCAGGAGUGUCACAUGACUGCCGCCCCAUGUGUGUGAGAGGCGUCCUCUGGGAGAGCAUGGAUCCUGAGGUCCCAGGAUUGUCAGCUGACCUCUGUCCUGUGUGCCCAGUGGCCCCAGGUGACGUGUCUUCAAGAAGAGGCUGAGCUGCGGUGCUUGUAAGGUCUCAGCCUUAGAUCCAAGGACAGUCCAAGGAAGUCCUAAGACCAUGGAGUUGGUGAUCUGGGAUCUGGGUUUGCUGAUAUUUCUCACCGUGAAUCUCUUGGUGGUGUUUGUGGGCACGAGAGGGGCAGAGAAUGGAGAGUGAGGCUACCACAUGAAGCGUCACCAGAGCUGCUCCCUGCUGCCUGCUCAGAGCACCCCGGAUCCACUGUUCAAUCUGCACAAGAUUCGGGGUCCAGACAUGGGAGACUUCAGCUGCCUCAGAGGACCGUGGACAGGGAAGGCCAGCCUCGCAUCCCUCUGUCCAUGCCUGGAAUGACUUUAAUAACCAAGAGUUUUAUUUUUGAAUUUGUAGCUGUCGUUCACUUUUUACCCACCCAUUCAAUAAACCUUACAGAAUUGCUCCA